rnacentral:rRNA from 1 species
UAAGCGGAGGAAAAGAAACCAACAGGGAUUGCCCUAGUAACGGCGAGUGAAGCGGCAACAGCUCAAAUUUGAAAGCUAGCCUUCGGGUUCGCAUUGUAAUUUGUAGAGGAUGAUUUGGGGAAGCCGCCUGUCUAAGUUCCUUGGAACAGGACGUCAUAGAGGGUGAGAAUCCCGUAUGUGACAGGAAAUGGCACCCUAUGUAAAUCUCCUURGACGAGUCGAGUUGUUUGGGAAUGCAGCUCUAAAUGGGAGGUAAAUUUCUUCUAAAGCUAAAUAUUGGCGAGAGACCGAUAGCGCACAAGUAGAGUGAUCGAAAGAUGAAAAGCACUUUGGAAAGAGAGUUAAAAAGCACGUGAAAUUGUUGAAAGGGAAGCGCUUGCAAUCAGACUUGUUUAAACUGUUCGGCCGGUCUUCUGACCGGUUUACUCAGUUUGGACAGGCCAGCAUCAGUUUCGGCGGCCGGAUAAAGGCUCUGGGAAUGUGGCCUCCACUUCGGUGGAGGUGUUAUAGCCCAGGGUGUAAUACGGCCAGCCGGGACUGAGGUCCGCG